CAAAGGCUUGGCUAAUACUGCAAAGUUUGGGAUCCACAGUCUACAAAACCCCACAUCCCCUGAGAAUUCUCUCGCCUGCCUUAGGCACUUAGGCUCCGGGAGAUUGCAAAUAACCUGCUUUCUUUCUGUUCCCGGGCUGCGUUCGGACUCCUGUCAGAUAGUAAAUCCUAAGUGGCGUCGGACCCCUGUCAGAGAGUAAAUCUCAAGUAAGGUACCUGCCAUCGGCAGAUUUGAGCUUUCUUCUUGGACACCUAAUACCCACAGUCCUCCAGGAUAACUUCAGGAAGUGGGUAUUAAUUCUCACGGUAUAAGUGAAGACAUUAAGCACCAGAGUUUAAGUAGCUUGCUAGAUCCACUGAAAGAGAUUCAACUGUGUGGAACCUAUGCCGUGGAGAAUUGCUUUCUGCCAUUGUUAUCGUCCAGCAGUUGCCGAAUAGCUCUGACCUGAGCAAAGCAGUGAAACGCGGUGCUGUUGAGUGGGUUGCCACUGCACCUUUUUCAACUACUCUAGUCUUGUGGAGAAAAUACCCCUUCUAAAUUUUUUCUUCAUUGAAUACUCUCCCUCAGCUCCAGAGUACCAUAUAGAGUUUUCUUGUAUUUUAGAGUUACUGUUUUAUCAAAGUUUACCAGUCUUUUGUAUUACAUUUCUCCUGUCUAAAUCGACUGUGUGGUUUCUACUCAUUAUGGAUAUAGAUUGAUACAAACUCA
rnacentral:lncRNA from 10 species